GACGAACGCUGGCGGCGUGCUUAACACAUGCAAGUCGAACGUGAUUUUUAUGGAAAGCCCUUCGGGGACGGAAGUAAAAUGAAAGUGGCGAACGGGUGAGUAACACGUGAGCAACCUACCUUACACAGGGGGAUAGCCGUUGGAAACGACGAUUAAUACCGCAUGAGACCACAAAGCCACAUGGCUUAGGGGUAAAAGAUUUAUCGGUGUAAGAUGGGCUCGCGUCUGAUUAGCUAGUUGGAAGGGUAAAGGCCUACCAAGGCAACGAUCAGUAGCCGGUCUGAGAGGAUGAACGGCCACAUUGGAACUGAGACACGGUCCAAACUCCUACGGGAGGCAGCAGUGGGGAAUAUUGCACAAUGGGGGGAACCCUGAUGCAGCGACGCCGCGUGAGCGAAGAAGGUUUUCGAAUCGUAAAGCUCUGUCCUAUGAGAAGAUAAUGACGGUAUCAUAGGAGGAAGCCCCGGCUAAAUACGUGCCAGCAGCCGCGGUAAUACGUAUGGGGCGAGCGUUGUCCGGAAUUAUUGGGCGUAAAGGGUACGUAGGCGGUUUUUUAAGUCAGGUGUGAAAGCGUGAGGCUUAACCUCAUUAAGCACUUGAAACUGGAAGACUUGAGUGAAGGAGAGGAAAGUGGAAUUCCUAGUGUAGCGGUGAAAUGCGUAGAUAUUAGGAGGAAUACCGGUGGCGAAGGCGACUUUCUGGACUUUUACUGACGCUCAGGUACGAAAGCGUGGGGAGCAAACAGG
rnacentral:rRNA from 1 species